UACGAAGGGGGCUAGCGUUGCUCGGAAUCACUGGGCGUAAAGGGUGCGUAGGCGGGUCUUUAAGUCAGGGGUGAAAUCCUGGAGCUCAACUCCAGAACUGCCUUUGAUACUGAAGAUCUUGAGUUCGGGAGAGGUGAGUGGAACUGCGAGUGUAGAGGUGAAAUUCGUAGAUAUCUGGAGGAACACCAGUGGCGAAGGCGACUACCUGGCCUGUUCUUGACGCUGAGGCGCGAAAGCUAGGGGAGCAAACGGG
rnacentral:rRNA from 1 species